GCUGGGCUCAGAGGUAGAGCACCUGCUCAGCAUGCACAAGGUCCUGGGUUCCAUUCCCAGCACCAGCA
rnacentral:tRNA from 1 species